rnacentral:ribozyme from 1 species
GCUGCUCGAUAAAUAAUCACACACCUCUCCGUGGUGAGCAGCAGGCAACGAUCUAAGAAUCAGGGAUUCGGUGAUCGGCUGAGAUGUGAAA